UACGGGGGGGGCAAGCGUUGUUCGGAAUUACUGGGCGUAAAGGGCUCGUAGGCGGCCAACUAAGUCGGACGUGAAAUCCCUCGGCUUAACCGGGGAACUGCGUCCGAUACUGGAUGGCUUGAGUUUGGGAGAGGGAUGCGGAAUUCCAGGUGUAGCGGUGAAAUGCGUAGAUAUCUGGAGGAACACCGGUGGCGAAGGCGGCAUCCGGGACCAACACUGACGCUGAGGAGCGAAAGCCAGGGGAGCAAACGGG
rnacentral:rRNA from 1 species